ensembl:misc_RNA Metazoa_SRP Metazoan signal recognition particle RNA
GCCGGGUGUGGUGGCACAUGCCUGUAGUCCCAGGUAAUUGGGAGGCUGAGGUGGGAGGAUCACUUGAGCCUAGGAGGUUGAGGCUGCAGGGAGCCACUGCACUCUAGCCUGGGCAACAAAGUGAAACCCCAUCUCAA